GAGACAUGGAGGUGGAGGAGAGCUUUUCACCUCAUCUUUAUCUGCAUUUUAAAAAGGUACAAUAUCCUGUGUUACCUCCGGCUUGGUCGUGAUCCUCCCACGCACUACGUCCCGCUGGUGAAAUUCCUCUCUGUCAGGUGAAAAGAAGCAGCUGGCGACUCGACAUGUAUCGGAGGAGGCAUAUGGUAGUCUGCAGCCCUCCCCGGAUCAGCAGAGGGGGUGGAGCAGUGACCAGGACGGCUCAGAAGAGUGGGGGGUGAAGUUUGACUGACGGAUUUGUGAACUGGUUGAUGGACAGGCCCGCACGUAAUGGAUGGACGUAAGGCGGUGGUGCGUAAAGACAUGAGGCGGGUGGAAAUCGUGCUCCGGUGUGAACUGCACCUGUCAGGUGUGUUGUACAGGUCCGCACACCAGACGCUACAAUGGCGGAGAGACACCGUCCUGCAGGAAGCAAACACUGCUGCCGCAAGUCUGUGAACCAAAAGCAACAAUCCACUUAAACCUGAAGGAGCCAGCCGAGCGGAGAGAGGCUGAGAUGGACUCGAGGGAAAUUCAUACAUCUGGCGGCUCAAGGUUGCCCUCCAGCAGAUCUCUGCGCUGCGGCAGAACAUCUGAGCUACCGGGAUUCAGGCGGUCUGUCUCUGCACAGCCGUCCAUCAGCCGGGCGGGGAGGUUGUCUGUAAGACAGCUGAGAGACAUUUUAACUACUGACUCUACCUCAAAAAGGCAACUGGCCAAGCAACAGCAGGCUGGCAGAGAAUCACUGGAAAGGCACCGAUAUUUUCACUGGGAAGCUUUGCAGCAGAGGGCCAACGCUUUUAUUGAGACGCUCAACAGCACUGGAGAAGCCGAGCUACACAUGCAAGUUCCCUAAAGAAAAGAA